rnacentral:rRNA from 1 species
GACGAACGCUGGCGGCGUGCCUAAUACAUGCAAGUCGAACGAGAGCGACCGGUGCUUGCACUGGUCAAUCUAGUGGCGAACGGGUGAGUAACACGUGGGUAACCUGCCCAUCAGAGGGGGAUAACAUCCGGAAACGGAUGCUAAAACCGCAUAGGUCUUCGAGCCGCAUGGCUUGAAGAGGAAAAGAGGCGCAAGCUUCUGCUGAUGGAUGGACCCGCGGUGCAUUAGCUAGUUGGUGAGGUAACGGCUCACCAAGGCCGUGAUGCAUAGCCGACCUGAGAGGGUGAUCGGCCACAUUGGGACUGAGACACGGCCCAAACUCCUACGGGAGGCAGCAGUAGGGAAUCUUCCGCAAUGGACGCAAGUCUGACGGAGCAACGCCGCGUGAGUGAAGAAGGUUUUUGGAUCGUAAAACUCUGUUGUUAGAGAAGAACAAGUGCUAGAGUAACUGUUAGCGCCUUGACGGUAUCUAACCAGAAAGCCACGGCUAACUACGUG